rnacentral:rRNA from 1 species
GACGAACGCUGGCGGCGUGCUUAACACAUGCAAGUCGAACGGAAAGGCCCUGCUUGUGUGGGGUGCUCGAGUGGCGAACGGGUGAGAAACACGUGAGUCACCUGCCCUUGACUGUAGGAUAACUUCAGAAAACUGGGGCUACUACCGGAUAGGAGCUCCUGCUGCAUGGGGGGGGUUGGACAGCUUCGGCGGAUGGGGAUGGACGCGGGGCUAAUCAGCUUGUGGGUGGGGUAGUGGCUAAGCAAGGCUUUGGCGGAUAGCCCGCCUGGGUGGUUGACCGCCCACAUUGGUACUACGAUACGGCCCAGUCUCCUACGUGAGGCAGCGGUGGGGAAUAUUGCACAAUGGGCGGACGCCUGAUGCAGCAAUCCCGCGUGCGUGAUGACGGCCUUCGUGUUGUAAACCGCUUUCGGCUGUGACGAAGCGUUAUUGACGUUAAUGGGAAAAGAAGCACCGGCUAACUACGUG